GAAGGAUGAAGUAUGUAACUGUCUACUGUACCACGUCGUUUGAAAACACUAGAAAAUUCUACAAUUCUUCAAGUUUUCAAAUAAAUACCCUGUCCAUCUUAAACUUGAAAUGCACUUCAAAUUGCUAACAUCGAAUUUAUUGUUGACUGUAGAUGUUGUCACUUCUAUUUUCCUUGUAAAAGGAUGCUAAAUAAGGUUCCAAAGAAUGAUUGCUACGUUAACCAAAAUUAUGCACUGCCAAGCUGUCUCCAGCAUCAACUCUGAAAGACAGAUAGGAAAGAAUCAAAAAUACAGUUUCCUACAUGAAAGUCGAAGCAUUGCUUCUUUCUUUGUUCUCUUCUGUGGGAUUUUUCCAUUGUCCUCCCAAAUGUGACAAUUUGCAAAUACCCAUAUCUAGAAGCAUAUUCUAUGAGAGAAAAGACCCCAGUUUUGAAACUCGAAAAAGUGCUUUAAUAAUUGUAAGCAAAGGUUCAGCAAAUCAGCUAGCACUAAUCUUGACCAAAUGGGUGAGUCAGCCUUGUCACAGAGAUAUUUAACAUUUAAAAUCCUACAAACAUGGUAACUCCAAGCAUUCUACCAAGAACAAAGAAUAAACCCUUGAAUAAUCACUUGUAAGGACUAACAACUUGUAUUUAACAUAUUUUACACUGAAGUACUAGAUGGUCUCUAUAGUUCCUUUUAGCUCAAACCUUCCUUAAUUUUUCGAGUAACUUCACCAGACUAUUCUUUGAGUCUUAGUAAUUACAAAUAGGACCUGAAUGAGAAAGAAAAUUCAGAAUUAAAGUUCUUAUCAGUAAGCCUAAUUAAACAGUACAGACAGAAAGAUGGCAGUAGAAUAAAGCAUUCUACAUUAGGAGAAGGGAGAAUAUAAUCAGUAGUUCGCAGCCCCAUCAAUGAAGCGCAGCAUACAACAAAGUCUGGCUGGGAUUUGGGAUAUAAUGGACAAUAUCUGUCUGCCCUUGGGUGGCAACUAACAUACCUAUACAGUGAUAGACAGUGGAGCCUUUGAAAGCGAUACUCCACCUGAAGUAACCAACCACCCUCAGGAAAACAUGUCAAACCAGAGAGUGAAUCCUCUAAUUUUAGUGAGUUGUUUCCCUUACUGGCAGUUUUCCUACUUUCUAUCUUAAAAGGAAAUCCACACACUCAGCGCCGCAAAAUGGUAAAACAUCUCACCCCUAUAUUGUGACUCUGGCACCUGUGGUCAGAACAAAAGCUAUCGUUUUAACUAGGGUAGGAUUUAUGCUCCCGGUUCAGUAAAGGGCAGUGGCUACCGGCAGGGUGCAGGCAGGCUCCCUGCGUUGACUCUCGCUUCCUGUCACACUGUGGUUAUCACCGUGACGGACCCUUGACAUUAACAAGUCUUCGACUGAAUAACUGAUGGGACCUGCAGCCGGUGAGGGGGAAGCAUGGUGGCCCUGCGGAGUGCCUUGGCGGGGCCAGGAGGAUGGCACUGCGGUCAGGCAUCUCUGAGGCCCCGAGUCGGCCUCCCUCUCAAGAAUGCAAGCUCUGUGAGAGCAGAGUCUUUAUCUUUUUUAAGGCUGUAUCACCAACGCCUGGGUCAUGUCAUGUUCCCUUGGAGUUACUUUUGCAACCAAAGCAUUUAGUAUAGGAGAUAUUUAAAACACUGCAGCUUGUUAAAUUGCCUCACCUCACCUCACCUGUAACCUACAGUUGUAUCAUGCUUUUGAGUGUGAAACAUGUUACCUAGUGUUCUGUUUUAAAUACCCCAACUCUGCAGACUUUUGUGGUAAAAAUGCACUAGCAACUAUAGGUGGAUCAUUAUGGUCUUUUUGAAAUUUUUUUAACAAAGAGACAAAUAAUUUCUUUGCCUACCUCUUGUCUCCCACCCCUUCCAUUCCUUCACACCCACAAGACAUAAAGGACCCUUUACAGACAUGUAAAAAUACAAAAAAAUAAAAUUAGCCAGACGUGGUGGUACACACUUAUAAUCCCAGCUCUUCGGGAGGCUGAGGCAUGAGAAGCUGAGGCAUGAGAAUGGCUUGAACCCCAGAGGAAGAGGUUGCAAUGAGCUGAGAUAACACCACUGCACUCCAGUCUGAACAACAGAGCAAGACUCCAUCUCAAAACAAAACAACAGAAAAAAGACAUGGUUUUGUAUCGGAAGUAAGAAUAGUAAACCAAAACGUCAAAAUAUUUCAGAAUGCUACCUAGGAGCCAAAGAAUAAUAAUAAAGUUUGUUUUGC